GACGAACGCUGGCGGCGUGCUUAACACAUGCAAGUCGAACGGAAAGGCCCUGCUUUUGUGGGGCGCUCGAGUGGCGAACGGGUGAGUAACACGUGAGUAACCUGCCCUUGACUUUGGGAUAACUUCAGGAAACUGGGGCUAAUACCGGAGAGGAGCUCCUGCUGCAUGGUGGGGGUUGGAGAGUUUCGGCGGUUGGGGAUGGACUCGCGGCUUAUCAGCUUGUUGGUGGGGUAGUGGCUUACCAAGUCUUUGACGGGUAGCCGGCCUGAGAGGGUGACCGGCCACAAGAGUACUGCGAUACGGCCCAGACUGCUACGGGAGGCAGCAGUCGAGAACAUUACACAAUGGGCGGACGCCUGAUGCAGCAACGCCGCGUGCGUGAUGACGGCCUUCGGGUUGUAAACCGCCGUCGCCGGAGACGAAGCGUGAGUGACGGUAAUGGGUAAAGAAGCACCGGCUAACUACGUG
rnacentral:rRNA from 1 species